rnacentral:rRNA from 1 species
UACGUAGGCGGCUUUUUAAGUCGGAUGUGAAAUCCCUGAGCUUAACUUAGGAAUUGCAUUCGAUACUGGGAAGCUAGAGUAUGGGAGAGGAUGGUAGAAUUCCAGGUGUAGCGGUGAAAUGCGUAGAGAUCUGGAGGAAUACCGAUGGCGAAGGCAGCCAUCUGGCCUAAUACUGACGCUGAGGCACGAAAGCGUGGGAGGCAAACA